rnacentral:rRNA from 1 species
UACGUAGGGGGCGAGCGUUGUCCGGAUUUAUUGGGCGUAAAACGCUUGUAGGUGGCUACGUCAAGUCGGACGUGAAAUCUCCCGGCUUAACUGGGAGGGGUCGCUCGAUGCUGGCGAGCUCGAGGCAGGUAGGGGGAAGCGGAAUUCCCGGUGUAGUGGUGGAAUGCGUAGAUAUCGGGAGGAACACCAGUGGCGAAGGCGGCUUCCUGGACCUGUUCUGACACUGAGGAGCGAAAGCGUGGGGAGCGAUCCGG